UACGUAGGGCGCAAGCGUUAUCCGGAAUUAUUGGGCGUAAAGAGCUCGUAGGCGGUUUGUCGCGUCUGCCGUGAAAGUCCGGGGCUCAACUCCAGAUCUGCGGUGGGUACGGGCAGACUAGAGUGAUGUAGGGGAGACUGGAAUUCCUGGUGUAGCGGUGAAAUGCGCAGAUAUCAGGAGGAACACCGAUGGCGAAGGCAGGUCUCUGGGCAUUAACUGACGCUGAGGGGCGAAAGCAUGGGGAGCGAACAGG
rnacentral:rRNA from 1 species